rnacentral:rRNA from 1 species
UACAGAGGGUGCGAGCGUUGUUCGGAAUUAUUGGGCGUAAAGGGCCAGUAGGCGGCCAACUAAGUCACACGUGAAAUCCCCAGGCUUAACCUGGGAACUGCGUGUGAUACUGGAUGGCUUGAAUUCGGGAGAGGGAUGCAGAAUUCCAGGUGUAGCGGUGAAAUGCGUAGAUAUCUGGAGGAAUACCGGUGGCGAAGGUAGGUCUCUGGGCCACUACUGACGCUGAGAAGCGAAAGCAUGGGGAGCGAACAGG